rnacentral:snoRNA from 1 species
CACCGAAUUGAUAACUGGAUGGAAUGAUCGGUGCUCAGUCCCUUUCUGUCUUUUAAGCUUUCGGGAUAAUAAAGUCAGGAAAUGCUUUCUUACACGAUGAUAACUUUUCCUGUAGUUUUCACUCGUUUACUUUUCCUCGACAACU